GUUGAGUAGAGCGGCGGACGGGUGAGUAACGCGUAGGAAUCUACCCAGUAGUGGGGGACAACAGUCGGAAACGGCUGCUAAUACCGCAUACGCCCCACGGGGGAAAGGCCGGGAUCUUCGGACCGGUCACUAUUGGAGGAGCCUGCGUAGGAUUAGCUAGUUGGUGAGGUAAAGGCUCACCAAGGCGACGAUCCUUAGCUGGUCUGAGAGGACGAUCAGCCACACUGGAACUGAGACACGGUCCAGACUCC
rnacentral:rRNA from 1 species